GAUGAACGCUGGCGGCGUGCCUAAUACAUGCAAGUCGAGCGAACAGACGAGGAGCUUGCUCCUCUGACGUUAGCGGCGGACGGGUGAGUAACACGUGGAUAACCUACCUAUAAGACUGGGAUAACUUCGGGAAACCGGAGCUAAUACCGGAUAAUAUAUUGAACCGCAUGGUUCAAUAGUGAAAGACGGUUUUGCUGUCACUUAUAGAUGGAUCCGCGCCGUAUUAGCUAGUUGGUAAGGUAACGGCUUACCAAGGCGACGAUGCGUAGCCGACCUGAGAGGGUGAUCGGCCACACUGGAACUGAGACACGGUCCAGACUCCUACGGGAGGCAGCAGUAGGGAAUCUUCCGCAAUGGGCGAAAGCCUGACGGAGCAAUGCCGCGUGAGUGAAGAAGGUCUUCGGGUCGUAAAGCUCUGUUAUUAGGGAAGAACAAAUGUGUAAGUAACUAUGCACGUCUUGACGGUACCUAAUCAGAAAGCAACGGCUAACUACGUG
rnacentral:rRNA from 1 species